UAGGUAUAAGCACGGGGCAGGGUCAUGAGUGAGGUCAUCAUCUAUAGACUUAGUAAUACGGCAUACAUAAUCACAUGAGUUACAAGUGAGGGGGCCACCCCAUUAUGUCACCUGGGCAGACAGGUGGGCCAUGCGCAGUAGGGGGCUGUGCCGUGCGCAGUAGUAGAGAGUCAUGUACAGAAAAGGGGUCCACCCCCAUUAGGUCACUGAGGCAAGGAGGUGGGCUGUGUGCAGCAGGUGUCAUGCGCAACACUUCUCAUCUGGGGGCUGGAGACUUCAAAGGAUUUCUAACAGAAGGAUACUGUAAGCCAAUGCAGUGGGACUGACAGACUUGUGCUCUUCUCUUAAGAUAUUUAUAGGGGAUGAUUUGAGCUAGCACAGAAGCGAGAAAAGACUGACAGGGUGAACAGCCGCCGUGACUGGUCACACCAGAGGGUUCUUCUCCCUCGGUUACUUCCAGGAUCUCAGGCCUGAGGCUGACUUUCCACAGGAACUGGAUGCAGGUGCUACAACUCCUUUAUCAGCAGGAGAGGCUCUUGCUCCAAGCCUGCCACACAGCAUAUGCCCUUUCAGGCAGGGACGCCACCGCCGGGGUCUUUGGUUCUCAUCCUGGUCUGGCUGUUUUCCCAUGUGCUGCUUCUGUUCUGUGACUGCUCUAGGCAUAUUUCCUACUACAAACUACUGUAUGGGUAUAUAGAAGGAUUCUAUAAAUCAGCACUGAAUGUGUCAGUACAGCUCCAAAGCUUUUGGGCUGUGAGGAGCAGUGUUCCAGCUGCGGGCCUGGGAGGUGGGGCUCAGUCCUUCCUGUGCCCCUGGGCCCCAGGUGCCCUCGCCUCCAGCACAGCAGUUUCCAGCACUGAGACUCGCGCUGAGACUUUGGAGCGUUCAUUUGAGCAGGACCGUGUGGCCAGUAAGAACCCCGUGUUGAAAGGCCUCCCCGUCUCUGGAGGCCUCCGGGGAGCCGCUGUCCUCCUGGGAUGUGCCCCUCCGCCCGCCACACUUCAAAUCCUGGCCAGCCACAGGAUUCUCCCAACACCCCGCCCCAUGCCCCACAGAGCCAGGGUCCCUUCACCCUGCGGGCGGUCACUGCAAGGCCAUGCAGCCCCCGGGAACUGACCCUGUCCCUAAGUGGAGUGGGCCACCUUCCGCCCGCGUGGCAGCACCUGUGACUGUGAACUGCUGUUGCUAUUGCUGCCCAGCACUGGGACAUCUGGUGCUAUUGAGGGCAGCGGGUCCCCGUCACCAACAGCGUAGACAGAAAGGAGGUGAUCAGAAUGCACCCUGUGGUUCAGCGGGCUCAGCAUCUGUGCCCACCAGAGCCUUGCAGGACCCCACUUCUCCCAUCAGUGGGCUGCAGAGGAAACGCGGGGCUGGGCUUUUCUAUCCAGAGACCAUCGGGACAGCUCAGAUCACAGAGCCACAAAGACUGGCAACUGAAGGAGACAGUUCCCCCAAAUCCACAGGAAUGGGGGGCUCUGAGUCAUGGGGCUCUAAAGUGGUGAGGGCUGUAGUCAUGGGGGCGCUAAGCCUUGGCGGCUCUAAGCUAUGGGGGGUCCUCUCAGGACCGUCUUUGGCAGAGGAGAGCCUGCCUGGGCCAAUGCUCACUGCCCGGAAACUGAAUACCGGCUCCACGCGCUUCAGGAUGUGAAGAAAAGGUGGAGUCGAGGAGGCUCCUGAGCAUCCUGUGAACUCUUGAAGCUCCUCCAGGUUCAGGACGCCUCUUUCCCCAGCCAAGCCCAGCAGAACUGUCUGCUCCCCGCACCCCGGGGCUGACCUAAUUAAAGCCUGCUCUCUCCGGGCACCCACCCGUGAGUCCAUCGCUGCCAGCCUCGGCGGGGCCCUGCCUGCUCAGAGCGCGUCUAAGUGGAAUAGAGGCUUUUUGUUGAAUGUGAUUUCCAGGCUGUGCUGGCUUCAUGCACCGCGCAGCCUGCUCCAUAGACCACAGCCGCUGGGCCAGCGUCCAGCCAGGACACAAGGGAUCUGUGUGCCGCGCUGGGUCAGCAUCACAGCGCAGCCCGGCGGGAAAGUGGAGCGGCCACUCCUAAGGCUCCAGCUUGUUUGAAUGAGGCUGCUUUUCCCAAAGGGGCUGAAGUGUCAGUCCACGCCGAGAGCUGGUUGCCUGCCAGCGUCAUUGCCUCUAGAUUCCAAAUGAAAAUAUGACAGAGCCAGAAGCUGGGUAAACUGUUUUCCCUCCCUCCCCUUUAACAAAGCCAAAUGGAAUAAUUGAGAUCAAAUCCAACUCUUAAAAAUGCAUUUGCCCGAGAACUCUAUGUGCCAAGUGUCAGCCUGAAAUAAUCCCUUUGCUGACAUUCUAAGCCCCGAGAAAGGCCGCCUGUCCCAGAGGUACUGACGCCACCAGACACAGCCACGCCAGUGAGCUGAAGCCUCGCUCUGAAAGCAGAAGGGCUGGCUGCAAACCAGAGCUAAAACCAGACGCCUGUCAGUGCUGUUAGCAGUAAGAUGACCUAUUAUUAGGGAAGCAGUUUUACUCUGAAAUUUAAAAUAGAAUUGAAAAAAGCAAAAUUAAAAUAAAAAUAUAAAACCAUCAUUUCA
rnacentral:lncRNA from 13 species